UUUCUUGGGGCCUGUUCCAAAGCCCACUGAAAUCUGUCGGAGUCUUUCCACUGACUUCAAUGGGCUUUGGAACAGGCCUUUAUUUG
rnacentral:pre_miRNA from 1 species